UUUGUGGGUCAUUGCUGCGCACGUUACCAAGCCCACCGGACAAGAGGAGAAACCCGCGAGAACCCGCAUUGUCUCGAGAACCCUAUCGCAUAGGCCACCGCCGCCUACCACCGUCGCACUCCUCCACGGCUCCGCCCAUCUUCUGGAGAGCGCACGCCCUCCCGCCGCUCUCGCCCCGGCCACCCGCUCGCCACCCCCACAGCGCCGGCGGCGCCGCACAGGUCAUCUCCGCCCCUGCUCGCCGGCACCUGAGGCCUCCAAGAUCCGGCGUGUUCUCCUCCUUCCCCAAGGGCCCAAGAUUAUCUCAUGAAUCAGAGGGCAAUAACCUGAUCUUUUUAGCCUCGCCACGCAAGUAGCCUUGCCUUUUGUUGCAUGCAUGUGCAGGGCAUACUGGGAGGGCAGACCAUACCAACUUCAAGAUUGCAGAAGAUGAUACUAGCGAUGGCGAGGAUCAGUUACAAUAAAAACUAACAGAUUUGAAGAAACAAGGUGUUUAGAGGGAUAUAAUACUUCUAUUAAUAUUAUCACAGUACUGUAAUAGACUUUUAGUUAGUAUUCAGAAAACCCUAUGAGAUAUCGAGUUGAACUGCUGCAUGAAGGAACGUGAGAUCAGGCCUACCGGCCUUAUCCAGUUUUUGUUGUAUAUAUCUGGAGCUAUCUCUAGGAUCUUGACUGGCUCAUGUCUAUGUCAUCACGCACUUGUAGCUGUUAGUUAACUUUUCUGUUUCAUUGGCCUCUAAUCUCAUUCACUCCAGAGCAAGUUAAUCUACUGAAAAUAGUGUUCAUGUCAUAUCUGUAAUUUGUUUAUCCUGAAUUGGUUGAUAAUUAUUUGACAAUAGAAUGCACUA